rnacentral:misc_RNA from 1 species
GAUGAAGAACGUAGCGAAAUGCGAUAAGUAAUGUGAAUUGCAGAAUUCAGUGAAUCAUCGAAUCUUUGAACGCACAUUGCGCCCCUUGGUAUUCCGGGGGGCAUGCCCGUUCGAGCGUCAUUAUCACCCCUCAAGCCCCGGCUUGGUGUUGGACUUAGUUACGGAUCACCAUAACUGGCCUCAAAGAUAGUGGCGGCGCCCCAGAGGGAACCGGUACGAGGAGCUUCUAGUUAAGCAUGUACGCGGGACGACUUUGCGGGCGACGGUCUUUUUCAUUUCUCAAGUGUUGACCUCGGAUCAGGUAGGAAUACCCGCUGAACUUAAGCAUAUCAAUAAGCGGAGGA